rfam:Harpegnathos saltator strain R22 G/1 HarSal_1.0_3.contig5386, whole genome shotgun sequence.
CAAUCGGCCCUUUUCAGGGCCACAAAUUAAUCAAACGUUUGGUCA